rnacentral:rRNA from 1 species
UCUACCUUUUACUAAGGGAUAGCCCGAAGAAAUUCGGAUUAAUACCUUAUGGUUUUAUGAUUUGGCAUCAAUUUAUAAAUAAAGAUUUAUCGGUAAGAGAUGAUUAUGCGUCCCAUUAGCUAGUUGGUAUGGUAACGGCAUACCAAGGCAAUGAUGGGUAGGGGUCCUGAGAGGGAGAUCCCCCACACUGGUACUGAGACACGGACCAGACUCCUACGGGAGGCAGCAGUGAGGAAUAUUGGUCAAUGGACGGAAGUCUGAACCAGCCAUGCCGCGUGCAGGAAGAAUGUCCUAUGGAUUGUAAACUGCUUUUAUACGGGAAGAAACGCUUAUUUGCGAAUAGGUUUGACGGUACCGUAAGAAUAAGGAUCGGCUAACUCCGUGCCAGCAGCCGCGGUAAUACGGAGGAUCCGAGCGUUAUCCGGAAUUAUUGGGUUUAAAGGGUUCGUAGGCGGGCUUGUAAGUCAGGGGUGAAAGUUAGCGGCUCAACCGUUAAAUUGCCUUUGAUACUGCUAGUCUUGAAUACUUGUGAAGUAACUAGAAUAUGUGGUGUAGCGGUGAAAUGCAUAGAUUCACAUGGAAUACCCAUUGCGAAGGCCGGUUACUA